ACCGAGGUCUAUCCCGAUAAGUCUUCCCUAUAGAUUUGUGUCGUUGGAAAUGCCUCGAAAAUUAAAUUUGUGGUUAGCUUUACUCACUAAGCUACUUUCAUAGGCUUAGUGGGAUAAAACUGCAAUACAAGA